GAUUGUUCACCCACCAAUAGGGAACGUGAGCUGGGUUUAGACCGUCGUGAGAUAGGUUAGUUUUACCCUACUGAUGAUAGUGUCGCAAUACUAAUUCAACCUAGUACGAGAGGAACUGUUGAUUCGCACAAUUGGUCAUCGCGCUUGGUUGAAAGGCCAGUGGCGUGAAGCUACCAUGCGCUGGAUUAUGACUGAACGCCUCUAAGUCUGAAUCCAGGCUAGAAGCGACGCGUGUGCCCACCGCCCACUUGCAGACCCACAGUAGGGGCCGUCCAGCCCUCAAAGGCACGUGUCGUUGGUGAAGCCCGCGUGGCAGAUGAGUCGCGCGGGCCGCCUUGAAGUACAAUACCUAUCUCGAGCGGCAGGUAGAAUCCUUUGCAGACGACUUAAAUACGCGACGGGGUAUUGUAAGCGGCAGAAUGGCCUUGCCGCCACGAUCCACUAAGAU
rnacentral:rRNA from 1 species